GACGAACGCUGGCGGCGUGCUUAACACAUGCAAGUCGAACGGAAAGGCCCUGCUUUUGUGGGGUGCUCAAGUGGCGAACGGGGGAGUAACACGUGAGUAACCUGCCCUUGACUUUGGGAUAACUUCAGGAAACUGGGGCUAAUACCGGAUAGGAGCUCCUGCUGCAUGGUGGGGGUUGGAAAGAUUCGGCGGCUGGGGCUGGACGAGCGGGUUACCAGCUUGUUGGUGGGGUAGGGGCUGUCCAAGCCUUUGACGGGUAGGCGGCAUGGGAGGGUGACCGGCCACAUUGGGCCUGAGAUACGGCCCAGACUCCUACGGGAGGCAGCAGUGGGGAAUAUUGCACAAUGGGCGGAAGCCUGUUGCAGCAACUCCGCGUGCGGGAUGACGGCCUUCGGGUUGUAAACCGCUUUCGCCUGUAACGAAGCGUGAGUGACGGUAAUAGAUCAGGAAGCGCCGGCUAACUACGUG
rnacentral:rRNA from 1 species